rnacentral:misc_RNA from 1 species
UUGUGGGGUAACACACCGUA